rnacentral:rRNA from 1 species
UACAGAGGUCCCGAGCGUUGUUCGGAUUUAUUGGGCGUAAAGGGUGCGUAGGUGGCAAAGUAAGUUGGAUGUGAGAUCCUGGGGCUCAACCUCAGAAUUGCAUUCAAUACUGCUUAGCUAGAGAGCUGUAGAGGAGACUGGAAUUUACGGUGUAGCAGUGAAAUGCGUAGAUAUCGUAAGGAACGCCAGUGGCGAAAGCGAGUCUCUGGGCAGCAUCUGACACUGAGGCACGAAGGCCCAGGGGAGCAAACGGG